AUUGAACGCUGGCGGCAGGCCUAACACAUGCAAGUCGAACGGUAACAGGAAGAAGCUUGCUUCUUUGCUGACGAGUGGCGGACGGGUGAGUAAUGUCUGGGAAACUGCCUGAUGGAGGGGGAUAACUACUGGAAACGGUAGCUAAUACCGCAUAAUGUCGCAAGACCAAAGAGGGGGACCUUCGGGCUUCUUGCCAUCGGAUGUGCCCAGAUGGGAUUAGCUAGUAGGUGGGGUAACGGCUCACCUAGGCGACGAUCCCUAGCUGGUCUGAGAGGAUGACCAGCCACACUGGAACUGAGACACGGUCCAGACUCCUACGGGAGGCAGCAGUGGGGAAUAUUGCACAAUGGGCGCAAGCCUGAUGCAGCUAUGCCGCGUGUAUGAAGAAGGCCUUCGGGUUGUAAAGUACUUUCAGCGGGGAGGAAGGGAGUAAAGUUAAUACCUUUGCUCAUUGACGUUACCCGCAGAAGAAGCACCGGCUAACUCCGUG
rnacentral:rRNA from 1 species